UACGAAGGGGGCUAGCGUUGCUCGGAAUCACUGGGCGUAAAGGGUGCGUAGGCGGGUUUUUAAGUCAGAGGUGAAAUCCUGGAGCUCAACUCCAGAACUGCCUUUGAUACUGAAAGUCUUGAGUAUGGGAGAGGUGAGUGGAACUGCGAGUGUAGAGGUGAAAUUCGUAGAUAUUCGCAAGAACACCAGUGGCGAAGGCGGCUAACUAGACGAGUACUGACGCUCAGGCACGAAAGCGUGGGGAUCAAACAGG
rnacentral:rRNA from 1 species